rnacentral:sRNA from 1 species
AAUGCAGAGGUGGGGGACAGAGUGGGUGGGGAGGGGAGCCGCCAUACAGUGGCCAGGACCAGCUUUGCCCAAGUGGUGGCAACCGCAUGACCACAGGAACGAUGGCGUGAGCCCCGUGGCAACCUGGAGGAAGGGGUGUGAGAAGAAAACAUUAGAACUUCUAUUUUGUACCUGUGUUACUCCACAACAAGAAAGCAAUCAGCUUGAUCAAUGCCUACUGUAAAGACAGCACCGCCCUCCGGAGGUCCUUUCUCAGCCCUGGUGUUCGGACAGCCACAUCCCCUCGCAGCAGGGGGAGGCCUGAAGCAUAGAGGGGCCCAUGCAGGUCUAUUCUGUUUCAGCAAAUUGCCUGGGAAAUAAUCCAGGAUCCAUUUCGUGUGGUCAUCUUGUCUCCCUGGUCCCCUCCAGCCUUUCCUCAUCUUUUGUGACCUGGUCACUCUGGAAGGGCGCUGGCCAGUUAGUCCACAGGAUGGGCCUCCCCUGGGGCUUUUCUGAUGCUUCCUUAUGAUGGCACUGGCAUCCUGAGGGGGAGGACCACAGAGAGGAGGUGCUCCUCAUCACACCACAUGGGGGUCCAUGCACCAGUGCCACUGCUUUCCAGGGCUCUUCACCUUCAUCACUGGUGGAGGUGGCGUCUGCCAAGAAGCAGAAAGUUGAGGCUUAGAAGGUGCAUGGCCCUACCUCUUCUAAGGUGCCCCUGCGGGCUGUCUACAGACCAGGCAGCACAUGCCUGAUAGCAGCUGCAUAAGGAAAAGCAGGAGCCAGCUCGUGCACAGUGGCCUCAAGUGUGCGCUGGGCAUGUUAUCUGCCUCACCAUCCCUGUGUGACAGAUGAAGCAUGGCAAGCCAGGCUCCAGAGAAGCAUCCUGAGGACCAGUGUUCCUAGGGACCUCAUUCUUCUGACCUCAUUCCUACAACGUUUUGUCACUGCAAAGGAAAUCACCAAGGCCAGCAUGACAGCCCUCAACAGAAGCCAAGGCCAAGUCCUCGAACUUCCUAGUCUGCACAAUGACAAGUGAGCUCAUGGAAACCUCUCCAUCGUUGACCAGGAUCUAUAGGAAAACCCUCCUCUUCUUCUAUAUGCAAAGGCUGCACAGCUCCUGGUUCACCUGCACCUCUCCAGACCACCAUGGUGCCUGCAGCUCUGAGGGCAUUUUAAAUCAUCACAGAACAACAAGCAUAUAAGCAUUAUGAGCGCCUCUGGACCUCUGACGUGCCUUGUGGAGGCCUGCCAGGCCCACGUUUUAAUUUACAUGAACUCGAUGCCCUUUUUGACAGGGAGAGAUCUGUUUCUUUAUUUGUUAGCCUUUCCCCUGGACCUGCUAGAUCUGGACCAUCCCCAGGAAAGGAAGGUCACACCACAAAGAUAAAUAUAAACAAAAUGAGUUAAUUAAGAA